AGUGAGGAAUAUUGGUCAAUGGGCGCAAGCCUGAACCAGCCAUCCCGCGUGCAGGAUGACGGCCCUAUGGGUUGUAAACUGCUUUUGUUUGCCAAGAAUGGUUACUACGUGUAGUAAUUUGACGGUAGCAAAUGAAUAAGGACCGGCUAACUCCGUGCCAGCAGCCGCGGUGAUACGGAGGGUCCAAGCGUUAUCCGGAUUUAAUGGGUUUAAAGGGUGCGCAGGCGGAACUUUAAGUCAGUGGUGAAAUCUUGCCGCUUAACGGUAAAAUUGCCAUUGAUACUGAAGUUCUUGAAUGUAGCUGAGGUAGGCGGAAUGUGUUGUGUAGCGGUGAAAUGCAUAGAUAUGACACAGAACGCCAAUUGCGAAGGCAGCUUACUAAGCUACUAUUGACGCUGAGGCACGAAAGCGUGGGGAGCGAACAGGAUUAGAUACCCUGGUAGUCCACGCCGUAAACGAUGAUCACUCGCUGUUUGCGAUACACAGUAAGCGGCUGAGCGAAAGCAUUAAGUGAUCCACCUGGGGAGUACGAUCGCAAGGUUG
rnacentral:rRNA from 1 species